rnacentral:rRNA from 1 species
UACAGAGGGUGCGAGCGUUGUCCGGAAUCACUGGGCGUAAAGGGCGCGUAGGCGGUUUUGUAAGUCGGGGGUGAAAUGCUGCGGCUCAACCGCAGCGCUGCCUUCGAGACUGCAAGACUGGAGCACGGUAGAGGCGGAUGGAAUUCCCGGUGUAGCGGUGGAAUGCGUAGAGAUCGGGAAGAACACCAGUGGCGAAGGCGGUCUGCUGGGCCGUUGCUGACGCUGAGGCGCGACAGCGUGGGGAGCAAACAGG